CGGAACGAGAACGCUUCCGUUCGGGAAAGGGAAAUGGGUGCUGUCAGGGGGGGCCCCCGGCCCCCCGGGUUGAGUGUGAGGUGCGUUUCGUCCGCUCGCGGACCCCUCUGCGUUCCAGGUAAUCUGUGAGCGGUUAGGAGCGGCUGGCUGCCCGUGGAAGCUGCUGGAUUGAAAUAUAAAUGGUUAGACCCUCUGGGAGGUGCACUGAGCGGUACCCGAGGAGAGCUGGUUCGCUGUGCCUAAAUUACUGACAGGUAAAGAAACUCCCCCCCCCCACCCCCCCCCCCCGUCAUGGCAUGUUGCAGAGGAAUUGGUUAAUUGUUUUAGGUGGUCAUCGGGCACCCAAAUGCAGCAUGGAACAUCCUGGAGUCGAUGCUCCUCUCCCUCCGCCAGUCUGUUUGGAAACAGAGCUUGGAAAUGUCCAGAUUCAACGACACAAGGGAAUUGGCAAAACACGAUAAAGCUCCUGUCCCGUUCAGCUACCUCAGAUUUUGCUUCAGAUUCUAAUUGUGAUCAUUUUACACAUCCUGCCUUCUUUGACUGACAGUCAUCAAGAGUCAAUGUCAGGCCAUGAAUUUCUGACAGUCUCCAAGCUGAUAUUCUGCUAAUAGCAGAAAUACUUACCUGUCACCAGGUGGAUGAUCUUCCAUUUGCAGUGCUGAAUUUCAUCUAUCCAUGUAGGCAACUCCAUUUCCAGUCUCCAAAUGUUUCCAGUAUAUUUCAAAAAUCAUCACAGUAAAAAUGUUGCUCAGCUCUACAGCCAUUAGUGAAAGUCAAUAGCACACCGUGUGCCAGAGUAAUUAAUGAAAAUAUUAUACAAAGUCAGUCCCAAGACUGAUCUUUAAAGAACUCCACCAGCAAGUUUCUUUCAGCAUAAUGAUUCCUUUGAAUUAUCUUCAGUUUUCUCUCCUCUAAUGAGUCUCACAGCUGCCUUGUAGUUCUAAUUCCCAUUUUCAUUGGUUUAAUAAUAUUUCACACUGUGCAGUAUCAGAAACUUUAUUUAGAUCCAGCAAGAUUAGAUACACUAAAUUUCCUCUAGUAAUUUUAUACAAAAUUCACAGGGGCAUGCACAAAGCCCUCUGUUCAGCAGAAAGGUCCAGGUCUGGUACAGUAAGUUAAUUUUAGUUGGGAUUCUCACACUGAAUUACUAAAUGAGUACGGUUUGAUUUUUAUAAAAUUGUACUUGCAUAGAAAUCACAAUUAGAAAAAUGUUUAUAUUUUCAUGUAUGGAUAAUAUGUGAGAAUUAACUUGUACUUUUUUUAUAACAAUUUUAAUGUUUCCAAUGUACUUGAAUAAGUACAGAAACUGACAUUGCUGAAAUUUAAUUUUUAAAUUUCUGUAGAUGAUCACUCGUAACUGUAGAAACACUACUCUGUGUUUCAGGAUGACCAAACUGAGUUAAGAUUCUAUCUUGUUGGUAGUUACUGGUAUAAAUUGACUAAUUGGAGUGUAGUUGUUCCCAGCUUCUUCCAGUGAAAAAGACAUUGGAGUUGGGCUCACUGUUACAGUCUUUCAAUUACGUCUCACUAUAUUGGAACUUUGAAAAUGUUGAAUCAGAAAAAUAAUGGUGUAUUCUACAUUUAGGCAUGAAAAACUAGGUUAAGAAAGGUUUGCCUGUUUACAGGGUAGGAUGUUAAUAAGGAUUAAUUGAUGUCAUCCCUCCUCUCUAAUGGCUCUACCUGCCUUAUUUUUUCUCAUUAGACAGUGGAGUUAAAUAGCUGUGAUCUGACCUUGCCGUAACAGUUAGCUCUACGCAACGCAGGUGGAAACAAAGCAGGUUUGUAAUUGUGAUGAGGUACGUUCUUUCCCUGAAUUUCAUCAGGGCUAGAACAUUACUCGUUGAGCUGGUUAUACCAUGUGUAACCACAGUCCUUUCCCACAGGAUGGACCAAGCAGUGGAAUAACAAAGGUAUUUUAUGUAAUUAUAUGCUAUUCCAUGACUCUGAAAACAUGAACUAUGCAGUGUGGUUUUCUGCUACAAUCCUUGGCUGUGUGAAGUGAUGAUGCCUCCUUUGGCAGCUUCCUGGUGGAAAAAAAAGGUAAGGAAAGCUCUGCAUUGCAAGGUUUUGGAGGAUAGAGCAGAUGAGACUGCCGUUUGAAUCAGCCUCAGUUUCCAAAGCCUUUCUGUUGCAAGGCCACCCAUGGAAAUGUUGGCUACUUGCUGCCUCACUGAAGCAUGUCUUAACUUCAGGAGUAGGCAGUACUGUAGCUUCUUUUCUACCACAGUUUUUUUUUUACAUUUACAGUUUUUUUUUUAAUCAAGAUUAAUCUGUUAAUGAUAUUUCCUGUAAUUGUACGUGGCGAUUUCCUGCUUCUGUUAUUUCUGUAUUGCAAACUUCCUCAACUACCUUCACAAUCUGUUUUUGUCAGAACUCUGUUCUGCUCUUGGUGUGAGCCAGAAUAUCCACUUGCCUCAACUCUAAAUUUGCCAUUGACCAACGUGAAAGGAAAAAAGUUAACUAUUUGAUUUCCUAUAUCAGAUAACAAAAUAUAGACAUAGCAAAUACUUCUAUAUCAUUUGAGGUUUAUUAAAAUAUAACCCUUUCUAAAUUUCAUACACAUUUUGAAGCUUGUUUACGUCACAUUAUUACUAUUUUUUUCCUCAGAGAAAAUAGCAUUGUUGAUCCCUUUAUUUUUCUGAUAGCAUCUUAAGGCUGUAUUCACAAUGACCACCACAAAUGCCAUCUACACUUCUGAGUAGAAACGAGAGACUUGACCUGCGUCAUAGCUCACAUUUAGAGGCUCGCUUAUCAAGUGGGAUAUGACUAUGAGACCCUGAGAUAUGAGUGAAUGUCUAUAUUUAUCACCAACAGUCCUUUUUCCACAGUCUUGCCACAUGAUGUCACACUUCACAGUUGGUUACAUCUCUAAUGACUAGUGCACCCAUACAAUGAGUAUGAUUUUAACAUGACAGUAUAACAGAAGCUAAACAACAAAUUGUGAGGCAACUCUCUAAGAUACAUCCCUUGUUUUAUGCAGCAUAUUUAUACUUCAAAAGUAAGUGUUGAUACGCUUACUCUUCAUUUUAUGUUAGUGGUGUGUUAAGGGUUGAAGGAAGUAGAUACUCUAGUUAAUACAGAGUCAUCGCAAGGCCAUCACAAAGAAGCUGGCAUCAAGAGAAGAAAAAAGAGACUGGGAAUGGAAAGAGCACAAUUGGUUCUUGUGGCAGUGCUGUUAGUUCAUGACGUCUUCACAAGUUCAUUUAAUGCUGAAUAACUUACCUGUAAGUCGGUAACUUUAUGAAAGGAAUGAUAUGAUCACCUGCAGCAACAAAGGAUAAAACUAAUGAUUUCGGGAUGUUCUUUCUGGUUCCAGCUCAUAUGUAUUUCUUCCCUGUCGUGGAUGAUCCUCGGUAUCCAUACUGUUUUUAUAUUGUGGUCUGCCUUCUAAACAAUCUGAACAAUUCCUGGAAUGUACAGCGUAACCAGGGAUAAUGAUUAUGUCAGGAGAAACUUUAACCUCAAGAGAUAUUUACGCUUUAUUACUACAGAGAUUGCUUUUAAGAUCUAUUCUGUGUUAGCAAAGGACUGUACAUUCGCCUAUACUGAAUGAACCAGAAACCUGGGAACAGUACUUUACGAAAGACAGUCAAAGGCAUCUCCAUGUUGUGUUCUGCGUGCUUUACAAAGCCUCCUAGUGCCUGUGUGACCACAGUAUGCGGGCAAAAGUGACAGAAGCUGAAAACGUCAAAAUAUUCUGGAAGCAGUCAAUCUGCGCAUCAUGUUUUAUCCAGGCCACUCUGAAAAGCAGAGUUUAAUUUUUCCCUGACAGCUGCUGUACAUCUAGCUCAGAGAAACAGCAAAAAUGCAUCUGCUGGUAGUAGAAGGUACAAAAGGCAUAACCAUGUGCCCCAUCCUUUUAUAGAUACCCUUGCACUGAAGAAGUUCAAAUUCUUCCUUGAAAUUUAAUUCUCACAGGGAUUGUAUUCAUAGCACCUGAUCAUUCCUCUCUGUUGCCACCCUUUUCUUCAGCCCGCAACCCUUAAGCAAACCAUGGAUUAAGAGGUAAUUGUUAAAAACAGAAGUCAGAUAUUUAGAAAAUGACCUUUCAGAUAUGUACUGACUUCUUGGUAACUCCUUCUAUGAAAGCUGAGAACUAGCCAUGAAAGGCUUGUGCUGCUGAGGCUCAAUGGGAUUUUUGUCAUUGAUUUCACGAGAGAUUGGAUUCCACCCAAGCCAAAUGGAUAUGACUAACUCUAGGUGCUCAGUCACGGAAAAUGUUGGCCACAUUGCACUGUCAGUGUUUAAUAACAGGUAAAAAACAUCAAGGUGAACUUCUCUUUCUAUUUACUUAACAUGGGAGGUAAUUAAUAUGUUGAAAGCAAUGUACUAUUAACACUAAUAGAGUGGUAUAAAUGUUUGUUUUGUCACUAGUUACCUAGUAACAGAUUUUGAUUGUAUUUUAACAUUAGGAAGCUGACUACAUGCAUUUUAACUGAAAACAGGAAUGGCAUUAUUUACACCUGUUUAUAGAUGAAAAGGGAAUAAAAGAAUGAUCCAUCUGAUAACAUUA